rnacentral:lncRNA from 1 species
GGCCACCCCCAAUUUUGAGGCAGACAACUAUUCCCACGGGGGUGGCCCUCCCAGAGAGAAGCCCCGCUGUGGCAGAGCCUGUCGCUGCCCCGGACACAGCGCCCCUUGCGGCCGUACCCAUUGAACAAGUUCCGGGGCAAUAGAGGAGGAAAAGGGCCCGCCCCAGCAAAGAGGUUGAUUUCCUUGGCACCAAUCCAGAAGAGCCCGUAAGGGAGGUGCUGGAGGCU